UUAAACAUCAUUCUGCAGAGGUGGACAGGACUGUAGAAACCCUGGAAGGCAGCUCUGCCUGUGACAAUAAUUGGAAUAUCAGACAGAGGUUGAAGGAGAAGCUGCUGCAGCCCAGCCCAGACCCCAGCUGGGCUUUUUAGUCCAAAACAGCUCUGCCUCUUCCCAGAGACAAUCAAGGCUCAGGCUGAACCUCAGGCAGUAAAUCCCAAAGGUUUCAGCCCCUGGAGGAUUCCAUCCCCUGGUACCUUCUC